ensembl:snoRNA SNORD15 Small nucleolar RNA SNORD15
AUUUAAUGAAGAGAUGAUGACGAGUCUGACGUGGAAGUCUUAUCUUUGCCCAUGUGGCCUUACUCUGUACCGUGUUCUGUGACACAGGCUGAGUCCUGGUGGAAGAAACUUCCUAAAGAUGACUCAGAGGCAUGUGUCUGAAAAGG